AUGCUUCCAGCUUUGCUUUUGGUGCUCAGUCUUUUACCUGUGGGCUGCCGAGCACUGCUGGGGCUUUGGGGCAAGGCUCUGGUGCUGCAGGACCCACGAGCAUCACAGGGGUGCCGCACACCCGCUGGGGGCCACGCUCCGCAGCAUCCCUCCGGGCUCACACUACACCACAAUGCCCGAGCCGCUGUGCCGCAGGGAGCAGCAGCAGGAGUGCAGCUGCCUCCUGCCACGAGAAAAAUCAUCCUGUCCUCACCGAGCUGCUGCGAUCCGUGCUCCCGGCCCUGCUGCACCAAGGGGGGCCGUUGGCGCAGGGCUGCAGCGCGGCCGCGGCGCUCCCGCCGUGCUGGCGAGCGGCUCGGUGGGGACGGGCCCCGGCUGCCGCAGCCGCUGCCAUUGGAUCCGCGAGGGCUGCAGGGGCUGCGCCGCCGUGCAGGGGCUGCGUGCGCGCCGUGCAGGGAUGCGCACGGGGUGCGUGCCGGGAGGCGAGCGCGUUGUGCGCCAGGCCCUGCACCUGCUGGGGAGGGGGCAGCGGGGACGUGGCGCGCUCCAAACCCAGGGCGCAGAGCAGCACACUGCCUGCAGGGUAAAGGUUUGGUUUCACGGCCUGCAAAAAGGUCAUUUAAAUUUAAAUUUAAAAGACCAAAAUCCGCCCCCCUGCUCUCGGAGCUCCUGCACCUCCCUCAUGCAGCAGCGAGCAGACUGCGGGAAAAGCCCGGAUCAUUUUCUUUUCUUGUUGUGCUUGGGAAUAACGCGCGCACUGCAGAGGGAGCCUCGCGGAGUUGUUUCAGCGUUGAUUUUUUUUUUUUUAAUUUUUUUUCCCUGUCAGCAAAAUGUUUAAUUUUUCAGGCCCUGAAUUUCUUCACUGCUUCCUGCUGUGUUGUAAGACUGCUGCCGCACAGGGCUGGGCCUCCCCAGUGCAGCUCUGCAGCCCCGGAGCUGGCUCGCCCCGUGGCGUGUCCUGAUUGCCUCCUGCAGGCAGCAGUGCAGGCAGCAGUGCAGGCAGCAGUGCAGGCAGCAGGCAGCCCUGCUCAGCACCCAGCAGCACGCCAGCAGUGCAGGCUCACACAGCCCCCUGCUCCCUGCCCAGGCACGCAGCCCCCAGCCUUGCUCCAUGAACCCCACGCCCUGGGUCAGGUUCUCCCAGCCUCUCCGCGAGUGCCAAAUUUUGGAAGCCACCAGCCCCUGAAUUUGGGGGAAAACGACCCAGUAAGGGCAGCUGGUGGCACUGGGCAGGGCAGGGUGGGACGGGGCUGGGGGAGAUGCAGGGACACGGGGUGA
rnacentral:lncRNA from 1 species